rnacentral:lncRNA from 1 species
UCCCUCCCCCCCCCCCUUUCUUUUUUUGGUGACUGAAGUUGGGAUGGCCGUGGGUGUGCCUCCAAGGGCAUCUUCCUCAAUCGUAGGUGAGUAUGGGCCUGACAGUGACAAUAUUCUGCAGUCUCUCAGCUGCAAGUGGUGGUGAAAAUAGGCUCUCCACCAUUGUCACCGCACGCAUUUUGCUCUUUCUUUCCUUCUCUGCUCAGGAUGAAGGACACGAGCCGCAAGAACAACAUGUUUGCACAGUUUCGGAAAAACGAGCGAGACAAGCAGAAAUUGAUUGACACUGUGGCCAAGCAACUCCGGGGACUCAUCAGCAGCCACCACUCGUGAAGGCUGGCCUCGGGCCGACAGAGGCCGCUCGCUGCAGCCCCGGAUCCCGGGAGCCAGCGCUGGCUGGCCCUGCAUUUGUGCAUUCUUCUUCAAAGAGAGCAGAUGUAUUUUUUUAAUAACCCAUGUACAGUAUUCGCAUAACCCUUCCCUUGAGUAACAGAGGCGCGAGAGUCAGCAAGUCCAUGAGAGGUUGCUAGGCUGGGAUUCAGGCAAAGUUACAGCACACUGUCUGUCCCUUCCUAGGGAUGGUCGUGUCACCUGUCCCAGUAUGACCAGCCACCUUUCAUCCGUGGCUCUAGAGCUUAGGUCUGGGCUCAGGAACUACACAAACAAAAUGGGUGCUUGGCACUGGGAGGGAGGUGAGUAGGCAGGAAGUACAUCCUGUUGGCUCCUAGGUGCCCCAUUCACUGCAGAGGGGAGGCCGAUUCUUCUUGACACAAAGAAAGAGCCUGGAAAACAGUUCUGUUUAGCGUAGGAAAGACCAGCGCCCAGUUCCCAAGUUGUGAGGUUCAGCUCCUCAGUGCACUGACUUUCACUGAUCAGGGAACAAGUGUGGCAUGUGGCAAGAUGAUGGCUUCACCCCAAUACCCCUCGCCCCCAUCCCGCUGGGGAUGGCAUUUUUUAGCCUCGAUCUGACCCAGUGCUUUUACUUCUAGUUUUUCUGGGCCAAAGAAGAGCUGAGUGUGCAGUGGGAAUAAUCGGACCUCAUGACUAACUGUAGGUGCCCCCCACACCAGGAGGAGUUUUACUGGAUCUGGAGAGCCAGUGUGAAUGGAAUCAGAGCCCCAGUUCCUUCCCCCUUCCUCUCCUUGUCUUCUUUCAGGGUCAGGGCACUUGGUUCAGGGCCUAAGUCAGCAGUUAUUUCCAUAGACAGAGUCUCAGACGUGCCCUCCUCCAGCAGCGUCACCUGGGAUAGUCAGAUUCCAGAAGCCUGAAAAUGGUCCUUACUUUACCCUUAGGCGAAAUCUGAAGAUGACUUGGGAUUGUUCCUUUGUGUUUUAAAACCAGCUUUCUGGCCCCCAUCAUUAGAGGAAAUGGCACCAGCUCUGUACUGUGGGGACAGCCGUAACUGGACUGGAUGCCUCUAGGGGUGGAACCACUGUCACCGUGAAAUACAGCAGGUCGACCAUGGCUAGUGGUUUCUUUCCUCUGGCCCAGCUGUCCUUCGCUGAGUCAUAUCCUGGAAAAGAAGCUCUUCUUGCUCAAGCCUGACGCUUCCAUCCCCUUUUGAGGUCCCCAUAGCUGUCUUGUGGCUUCACCUGAGAAAAAUCACCUGUUAUCCCAUCCCUCCAGCUCUGGAGUUUGCAAAAGGAGCCUGGCCCCGUUAGCUCGGAAGCUGUGUCCACUCUCUGAAAUGGGCUCCCGAGACCUAAUGCAAGGGCUUUGCUGGGAGGUCAGACAGAGAAACCUGCCCUUUAAAACACUUCAGGAAGAUGCUACUAAGGCUACUGGCAAGCGUAUAAUUGUGGAUCACCAAACUAUGACAAAUAAGCCACACAGGCAUUUCCAGCUUGGAUUAGUGGGAGGAAAGACUCAUCAAACAGAAUUCUUCACCACCUUUGUCAGCAACUGAGUUGCUUCUGGGGAAGGCAGUGUUUCCUUUUUCACAACCCUCCCCCCCCAAAAAAAAAAUAUUGUACCACAGCUUGGAAACCGUGGGGAAGAAAACAUGCACUCAGACGUGCAGGUUCCCUCAAAGCUGGAGAGGCCAGGCUGCAUGUGGGCUCUGCAGAAGCCUCCCGAGCCUCGUCCUAAGGGCUAGACAGUCGGCCCAGGGCCUUAGCUUGAGGCUCAGAGAUGUAGGGCUGCCACCCAGAGUCUCGAUAGCCAUGGGGAGGCAGGGAGCCAUGGGAAUAAGACCCCAAGUGCCAUCCCUCCCGCUCGAGACUUUAUUAGAAAAGAGCAAGAAGAGUCACUCUCAUCCUAUUGCUUAAGAAGGGACCCAAACACCCUCUUGCACUGGACCGCAGUUGGAACAAGGUCUCUUCAGGUUUGAGUGCUGAGACUUUGAAGUGGAACUGAGAGAACCUUAAGCAGGUCACAUGGUUUUUUUAAGCAUUGUCAUUGCUGCUCUUUUCUCAAACCCGAACCCUGGAAACACUGUGCUAUAGAAGAGAAGGUGGAUGGGGGGAGAGGAAAGAGGGUAGCCUGCCCCUUGCACACACAAGUCCUUCUGCCAAAAAGGCUUAUCCAAGCUCAAGGCUCCUGGGUGGAUCUUUGUUAGAUCCCUCUCCCCUCUUGGUCUGCCUUCAGUCUUCCCAAACAGAACCAACAUGCAGCCACUGCGCUGUCUGUGGAGACAUGCUGUUUGAAUUGGUGAAGUCGGAUUUUUCAGUUUUGUCUCGAGGCCUCUAGCUGGGCCAGCCCUUGAGAGGACUUGUGCAAAGCAUGGGUGCCCAGACUCCUAAGAUCUGGCCUCAAAAUGCCCAGAGAUGUACAAGUGCCCCGGAGGUCUCUUAGAAGGGCCAGAACGUGGUGCCCAGGAGACUUCCAGUCCUCUAGUUGGCCAAGUUCUUGGCGAAAUCAGGUCCUUAUUCCUGGAGGGACAGUCCAGCUGGGGACCCUAGUGGGUUUCAGUCAUAGUUUAGGCAGCUGGCUUGGUUUCAACCUAUUUCGUAGCGCAGUCCCUUUGAGGAGAGUGUGCCUGGAGCUCUUGGGCCUGGGGAAGAGCAGGCCCUCAAAAGUGGGGGCAGCGGCGCAUCCCUGUUGGUAAAGGGACUAUACAGUUUCCGGGCAGCAGUUGCCAGUAUUUUCAUCGUGUCCCAGGCCUCCUCCGCGUCAGCCUAGCUUCCCUGCACACUUGACAAGUGCUUGUUCAGCAGAUCCCAGACCCAGGGCCCUUUACCCAGGAUUGGCAUUGGCUGUGGCUUUCCCUGUAAGGCCUCUGAGCACCCUCCCUGGGGCCUUCUCCCAGGACUCUGCACCUGGCUGCCUCCGUUGCCUCUCUCUCUUUCUUUUUUUUUUUCCCCGCCUGGGUGUGCAGUUACUUUUCACUAAUGUGUUCGAAAUGGCCUUUUUUAUUUUGCACAUGUCUGGGGGAAAUUUCAGAAAGUCCAUUUUUAACUCUAAAGGGAACCUUCUUCUUUAAAGCUCACCAGUAAAGCUACUGAUACCGAUGGGCCUGGCAAUGAGUAGAAAACCUCCUCUGUGAAAAGAGCAUGUUUAUCCUCCUGUACGUUUGCCUCUUUUAAUUGCUAUUAAAUGACACAGCCUAUAUAUCUGUUCAAAAGCCACAGCGUUGUCUCCUGACUUUUCUGUUCUCCCACCCCUUUUGCACAGUGCAGCCAUGGUUGGGGAUCUGAGGACUGACCCUGCACCCCCUCCCCUGGACUGAGGACUAGAGCAGGCAGAAGCCUGGUGGGGAGGAGAAAGCCUGCCCGCCAGACACGGCAAGGAGUCGUAUUGGGACCUUGGAGACAUUGCGAACUGCUAGGUUAGGCUUUCCCGUCUCUACCGUUGACACUGGCAUUGUCGUCAUCAUCAUCAAGAGAACUGACUCUUGAAAGGCCUGAUUUAUGCGGGGUAUCAGGCUAGGCAGCGGGGGGCUUUCAGUGUGUUUGGAACACUGGCCCCGCCGUGGAAAGGCUCCUGGUUAAAACGGAGCCGUGCGGGAUUCUCCAGAAUGAAGCCAGGGUGGGGGAAGGAGGGUAAUGAGCCCAUCGUGGAGCUCAGUGGGGGAGAGGGACAGGCCUUCUGGCCUGGUGUUGGGACAGCUCUGGUCGGAGAAGACAGUGCAGAGAAAUCAGGAUGUUAAUGAGCCCGGCCUUGAAGGAAUUCAAUUCGGACACCAUUAAGCUAUGGGAUAUUUUAGGUGCAGAAGUCAGAGAUGAGAGUGAAAAAUUACUGCAAGCCUGAUAUAGGCUGGGAGGGUCGCGGGGAGCCCAGCAGGCAUUAUGUGCAAGCAUGGUGAAUAAGGCCCGACAGGUUUGUGUCACAACACCCAGCCUUCUUGGCCCCGGGGCUGGCAUGGAAGCCAUGGGAACAGGCCGGAGAGAAUUUCUUCGGUAACGAGUCUGACUACGGCAACUGGGCUUUGAUGCCUGAGAGACCUGGGCUUCAAUUCCUGCUGUGCCACUUCCUAGCUGAAUGACCUUGAACAAUUAACUCCCUAAGUCUCAUUAUCCUCAUCAGUGAAAGCAGAAUCCAGGUGCCUAAUUUACAGGGUUGUUGCGAAGUGUACCUGAGCUAUGGGUGAUCAAAACGCUGAGCCAGUUGCCAGCUUCAGCACGGAAACUCUUUCAGGCCAGGCCUUUCCCUCCAGCCCCUCCACUUCCACAACACACUCGGAGCUGAGCCUGGAACAGAAGUGUCCAGAGUUGGUCUCCUGGCUUCUCUUCCCCAAACCCAUUCCAGGGUUAAUGCUACUGAGGUCCCUUGCGCCCCUGUGCAGACACAGCGCGACAAGCCCUUCAAAUGAGACAACCAGCUGCCUGCUCAGAGUAGUGCCAGUCCUUCAGGUAGAAUCUGCCCCUCAAGACCACCUGGCAUCUUCUCUGCCAAAACAUAUACCUCCUAGAAUUCAGGAGUUCUGGACUGGAGGUCCAUGACCUUUGGAGUGUGUGUAUGUGGGUAUGUGUGUGUGUACGUGAGUUCAGGCUUGCAUCCACUCACUUUUCUGGCGAGAAGGUACAUGGCUUUCCUCAAUGUCUAAGGAAGAUUCAUGACCAAAAUCCUGAAUAAUAACCAAAUCCCUUUCCAAGUGUAGAUCUCCCUCUGAGGGAAAGCCAGAUGCUCAGAGCGGUUACCCCCCUCCCUGCCUCACGGAGUUCUGGCAGGAAAGUUUUGGUUUUUUUUCUUUUUUUUUCUUUUUCUUUUUUUGUCUUUUCUAGGGCCACUCCCGUGGCAUAUGGAGGCUCCCAAGCUAGGGGUCCAAUCGGAGCUGUAGGUGCCAGCCUACACCACAGCCACAGCAAUGUGGGAUCCCAGCCAUGUCUGCCACCUACACCACAGCUCAUGGCAACACUGGAUCCUUAACCCACUGAGCAAGGCCAGGGAUCGAACCCACAACCUCAUCGUUCCUAGACAGAUUCAUUAACCACUGAGCCGCGACCGGGAACUCCCGGCAGGAGAGUUAUAAGGCCUCUUCCAAGAGCCUCCACUUGAACCCCAGGUCGCACCCAGAGUCCCGUACAGCCACCAUUCCUAGCAUUAUCUCCCCAAACCCGUUUAGGGGACUGAGGUGGGCACGAGGACCCUGCAAGUCUAUGAAUACAGAGACUCCCAGCUGGUUGAGGAGAUCGCAGACCAGAGGGUCAGGUAUCAAGGCUUUGGGCCAUCAGCGCCAAACUGACCCCGACUCAGCCCAGCAUGUUUUCCACAGCUUCUGAGUCUAAGCCCUGAUGGGUACAAAAUCUUGCCCAAGCCCAUGCUCCGAGGGUAACCAAACCAAACCAGGAAGACAGGUGAAGCGGUCACCAGCUCGCCCCUUUUCUCACCAGGCAGGAUGGGGAGCACAAGGGGAGGGAGGGAAGGAGAAAAAGUGCCAGACCCUUUCCCCAGAGGCCUCCGUUUGGAAUCGAAUGGACAUAUUUUCGGGGAAUGAGAGAGGCUGCAGGCCCAGGAGAGCCGAAGACAAAGGCUCUCGAGGAAGUGUAGGGAGGGGGAGAGGGAAAGGGGGGGGCCUGGGCAUUGUGUGAGAGAGCCACCCCUCUAUCUGUUUCAAUCACUGCCAGGGUUAGGGUUACCCUGCAUUUGGGGCCCCAGCUGUUCUGUGGGGUCUGUGACACCCGCUGUUGUGAUGCUAAUGGAGGGGGUCGGGGGCACCCCUGGGGUAGCCGACCCACAGCAGCUCCUGGGGAGAAUCCAAGGGCCUAUUCCUUCAGGGAGGGGGCACUCUGGGAGCCCAGAACGGAGCCCAAGGCCACAGCCCCCCCUCCCAGUCUGAACCCACUGCUAAGUGUACCUUCCAAGCCCAAGCUGUGACCUUCCUCUCUCCAAAGCUCCAGAAAAGGAAUGAAAUCUGAACAUUGAGGCGCUUUUCUGGCCCUAAACAAUCCUUCCAUUCUCUAGGCUCAAUGAUGGGUCUAUUUCCUCCUGUAAAUGGGUCUCGUAAUCUUCAACUUUUACCUUUGCUUCUAAGGGUAAUUAAUUGGCUCUCCCUCUUGUUCUCCCCACACACUCCCCUCUCUGUUACAAGGCUCAGGUUAAGCUGGGUGGAUGGCUUUUCUUUCUUUCUCUUCCACGGAGUGCUUAUUUUUAAAGCUGAUGGAGUAACGCCCUGCCCUCUCCAGUGAACCUCUUCUCCAGAGAAGCCUCCUGGGGAAACACCACUUCCCUGGGCAAAGGACAGGGGCCUCCGACUGCCCAGCUCGUGGCUGUUUAGUUAGCCAGUUCUGUUAGCAGCCGUUUUGCCGGGGAUGUCUCCAAGGUUUUAGGGGAGAUACCAGGGAAGGAGUUUUCAGGUAACACCCAGGAGCAGAGUAGAAGGUUCAGUGGUGAUCUGAACAUGGGAGACAGAGGCAGAGCUGGGUGUGGGAGAAAGUGAGACCAAAGGAUCAGAGUCUUGGAGGCCCCCCCCCGCCCAUGGAGAAUGAGGAAAAACAGUAAAGCCUUGAGCGCAGGGCUGCUUAAGGGCAUCGAGGUAGGAAGGGUGGGGGUAGGGCCAUCCAGGGCAGCUGGCAGCGAGGCUGCCUUGAGGAGGUGGGUGGUGCAGGCAGGAAGCUGAACCAGAGAGACACUGAUGGUUUCUAGGGUCUGCACCCUUGUCUGAUGCCUCUGCUUUUCGAAGGCAAGAAUGACACCGUCCGCCUGUCUGAAUCUCCUACAGCCCCUUGGCCAGCAAAUGGCAAAUGGGCACUUCGAGACCAAAUGCAUCACACUUGGUAGUGAUUCACUGCCAUGGUGGGGGCCGUGAGAGCAGCACUUCUUGCUAGGAGGAAUUCAUUGUCAUCGAUGCUCUUUAGAAAGCACGUAUGGUGAUGAUAAAAAGCAAACCAACAUUUAGUCCAUUUUACCAUGGCUUAAAAUCCUCUGCCAACAUGUUCCACUCCAUUCUUGGUAUGCUGUGGAGUAAGACACGAGCUGAAAACAGAUUCAGGUGAGAAACCAGGGUAGCAAAUGUAAUUCCUGAUGGGCAGGACGGGGUUUGGGUAGUGAUGGUGAAGGCGUGUGUACAGUUUCCCAUGUAUGUGGAUGUUGGUAUCUGACAGAACUGCUGGAGGAUUGCCCCACUGAGUCCUAGUCCCAUUUCUCACAGGAUGGCCUCAUUCUUUGCAAUCAUUUAUAUAGAUAUAUUGGAGCUCCCAUCAUGGCUCGGUGGAAACAAAUCUGACUAGUAUCCAUGAGGAUGCAGGUUCCAUCCCUGGCCUCGCUCAGUGGGUUAAGGAUCCUGUGUUGCUGUGAGCUGUGGUGUAGGUCGCAGUCGUGGCUUGGAUCCGUGUUGCUGUGGCUGUGGUGUAGGCCGGUGGCUACAGCUCUGAUUCGACCCCUAGCCUGGGAACCUCCAUGUGCCAUGGGUGCAGCCCUAAAAAAACAAAAACAAAACAAACAAAAUAAUAAUAUACAUAUAUAUACUUUUCAUAAAAAGUAUAUAAUUAUGGAGUAUUAAAUUAUAGAUUUUUCCCCCACUUAAUGUGUCUUAAACAUCUUUUGUGGCAUCUUCAUCCUCUGUGAAGCCCCUAAGUAUUUCCAGUGCAUGGAUGUACCUUGAAUUUAUUUAUGUCUAAUUCAGAAUUGAGGAAUAUUUGAGAUGUUUCCAGUAUUCACAAUGAUAAACAACAUUUCAGGAUAUUUGUAUAUAUCUUUGCCUUCUUGCUUAGGUAUUUCUAUAGUGUAAAAUUUCAGGAGUGGAAUUGAUUGGUUAAAGGCUGUAAACAUUAUAGAUAUUAGUGAAAAAUGAAUAUUACUCUCUUGAAAAUCACCAACUGACACUCUCUCCAAUAAUACACAAAAGAGUUUGUUUCUUUAUAUUAUCUUCAGCCUUAAGGAAUUUCAGUAUUCCUCAUUCUUGCCAACCUUAUAAGUAAAAAAUGAUUUCCCUUUGUUUUGUUGAUAUUUCUCUAAUUUAUAGAGUUCAACCAUCCACUUAUAUUGUUUAUUGCUCAUUUAUAUUUCCUCUUGUAUGAAGUAUUUAUCCAUUUAUUCUUCCUUUAAAAAGUACAUUGUUUCUGGAGUUCCCUUUGUGGCUCAGUGGCUAACGAAUCCGACUAGAAACCAUGAGGUUGUGGGUUCAAUCCCUGGCCUUGCUCAGUGGGUUAAGGAUCCGGCGUUGCCGUGAGCUGUGGUGUAGGUUGCAGACGAGGCUCGGAUCCCGCGUUGCUGUGGCUCUGGCGUAGGCCGAUGGCUACAGCUCCGAUUCGACCCUAGCCUGGGAACCUCCAUAUGCCUCAGGAGCGGCCCAAGAAAUGGCAAAAAGACAAAAAAAAAAAAAAAAAAAAAAAAAAAAAAAAGU